rnacentral:rRNA from 1 species
UACGGAGGGUGCAAACGUUGUUCGGAAUUACUGGGCGUAAAGCGCGUGUAGGCUGCUUCGCAAGUCGGAUGUGAAAGCCCUGGGCUCAACCCAGGAAGUGCAUUCGAAACUGCAGAGCUGGAGUCCUGGAGAGGAAGGCGGAAUUCUCGGUGUAGAGGUGAAAUUCGUAGAUAUCGAGAGGAACACCGGUGGCGAAGGCGGCCUUCUGGACAGUGACUGACGCUGAGACGCGAAAGCGUGGGGAGCAAACAGG